AACGAACGCUGGCGGCGCGUCUUAAGCAUGCAAGUCGAACGGCAAGAGAGGAGCUUGCUUCUCUCCUAGAGUGGCGGACUGGUGAGGAACACGUGGGUAAUCUACCCUUAAGAUGGGUAUAGCUGCUAGAAAUAGCAGGUAAUACCGAAUACACUCGGCAUAUCACAAGAGGUGUUGAGGAAAGGAAGCUACGGCUUCGCUUGAGGAUGAGCUUGCGUCCCAUUAGCUAGUUGGUGAGGUAAAGGCCCACCAAGGCGACGAUGGGUAUCCGGCCUGAGAGGGUGAACGGACACAUUGGGACUGAGAUACGGCCCAAACUCCUACGGGAGGCAGCAGCUAAGAAUAUUCCGCAAUGGACGGAAGUCUGACGGAGCGACGCCGCGUGGAUGAAGAAGGCUGAAAAGUUGUAAAAUCCUUUUGUUGAUGAAGAAUAAGGGUGAGAGGGAAUGCUCAUCUGAUGACGGUAAUCGACGAAUAAGCCCCGGCUAAUUACGUG
rnacentral:rRNA from 1 species